rnacentral:snoRNA from 1 species
CAUAUUUUAUAAAUCAUCUUCUGGAAUACCAGCUGGGACGCGAUCUUGAAGACAUGUGUACCUGGCGCAAAUGGCCGGAAGUAGACGAAAACGUUAGUUACAGCCCCUUUAUAAUCCGAGUCGCCGUAUACAAAAUCAACGGCUCCUCGGUUCGCUUUGGGGAAACAUCU